rnacentral:rRNA from 1 species
CAGUCGAGCGGAACGAGUUAUCUGAACCUUCGGGGAACGAUAACGGCGUCGAGCGGCGGACGGGUGAGUAAUGCCUAGGAAAUUGCCCUGAUGUGGGGGAUAACCAUUGGAAACGAUGGCUAAUACCGCAUAAUGCCUACGGGCCAAAGAGGGGGACCUUCGGGCCUCUCGCGUCAGGAUAUGCCUAGGUGGGAUUAGCUAGUUGGUGAGGUAAUGGCUCACCAAGGCGACGAUCCCUAGCUGGUCUGAGAGGAUGAUCAGCCACACUGGAACUGAGACACGGUCCAGACUCCUACGGGAGGCAGCAGUGGGGAAUAUUGCACAAUGGGCGCAAGCCUGAUGCAGCCAUGCCGCGUGUGUGAAGAAGGCCUUCGGGUUGUAAAGCACUUUCAGUCGUGAGGAAGGUAGUGUAGUUAAUAGCUGCAUUAUUUGACGUUAGCGACAGAAGAAGCACCGGCUAACUCCGUGCCAGCAGCCGCGGUAAUACGGAGGGUGCGAGCGUUAAUCGGAAUUACUGGGCGUAAAGCGCAUGCAGGUGGUUUGUUAAGUCAGAUGUGAAAGCCCGGGGCUCAACCUCGGAAUAGCAUUUGAAACUGGCAGACUAGAGUACUGUAGAGGGGGGUAGAAUUUCAGGUGUAGCGGUGAAAUGCGUAGAGAUCUGAAGGAAUACCGGUGGCGAAGGCGGCCCCCUGGACAGAUACUGACACUCAGAUGCGAAAGCGUGGGGAGCAAACAGGAUUAGAUACCCUGGUAGUCCACGCCGUAAACGAUGUCUACUUGGAGGUUGUGGCCUUGAGCCGUGGCUUUCGGAGCUAACGCGUUAAGUAGACCGCCUGGGGAGUACGGUCGCAAGAUUAAAACUCAAAUGAAUUGACGGGGNCCCGCACAAGCGGUGGAGCAUGUGGUUUAAUUCGAUGCAACGCGAAGAACCUUACCUACUCUUGACAUCCAGAGAACUUUCCAGAGAUGGAUUGGUGCCUUCGGGAACUCUGAAACAGGUGCUGCAUGGCUGUCGUCAGCUCGUGUUGUGAAAUGUUGGGUUAAGUCCCGCAACGAGCGCAACCCUUAUCCUUGUUUGCCAGCGAGUAAUGUCGGGA